GACGAACGCUGGCGGCGUGCCUAAUACAUGCAAGUAGAACGCUGAAGGAGGAGCUUGCUUCUCUGGAUGAGUUGCGAACGGGUGAGUAACGCGUAGGUAACCUGCCUGGUAGCGGGGGAUAACUAUUGGAAACGAUAGCUAAUACCGCAUAAGAGUAGAUGUUGCAUGACAUUUGCUUAAAAGGUGCAAUUGCAUCACUACCAGAUGGACCUGCGUUGUAUUAGCUAGUUGGUGGGGUAACGGCUCACCAAGGCGACGAUACAUAGCCGACCUGAGAGGGGGAUCGGCCACACUGGGACUGAGACACGGCCCAGACUCCUACGGGAGGCAGCCGUAGGGAAUCUUCGGCAAUGGACGGAAGUCUGACCGAGCAACGCCGCGUGAGUGAAGAAGGGUUUCGGAUCGUAAAGCUCUGUUGUAAGAGAAGAACGAGUGUGAGAGUGGAAAGUUCACACUGUGACGGUAUCUUACCAGAAAGGGACGGCUAACUACGUG
rnacentral:rRNA from 1 species